GAAAACAAUUCACGAGUGUCUUUUAAGAAAAAGUUGCCCUUAAGACACACCACAAAGAAAAAAGGUGUAAAAUGAUGCCUAGGACUGCAGUGUGGUGCAGAGGAGAGCAAGCACUGGGCCUGCAUCCACAAGACCUGCCAGUAGCCCUGGACCUGCUGUCGAGGGGCUGUAUCCACUCAGGCCCAUUGCAGGGGCCCCAUGUCCUCAUUGGUAAGAUGAGGCCAAGGAAUUAGAUGCUCCUUCUUGGUUCCAGCUCUUGGGAAAUUUGUGAACUCCACACCGGUUCAGCCCUUCCUCUUGUCUUCUUGAGCCUGAUGGGCAGGAGCAGGAAGCUGCACCCUGUAGUUGCGACCCCACUCCAUGUGGCUGGGCAGGUUAAAGGGGAGCCAUGGGACCAGAGGCUUAGUGGUCCAUUUGGGCUCUGUGGUGGGAUUGACCUUGACUCACGGGGGGUGGUUGUUUGAACUCUGAAUCCAGACUCUUCGCCUUCAGACAGAACAAGAUCCAAACAAUUCUAAAAGAAUGUUCACUACAUUUUUCUUUGCCUCAGAUACUUUGCUUACUACUAAAUGUAACUCUUUUCUGAGAAUCUCAAAUUUCUAUUUCUUUCUUUGUUGGCCGAACUCACUCACUUCCUGUAUGGCAUUUGAUUUAAACACAGCCUUUCUUCAGUCUCUUGGGGUGGAUAAUUUCAGCCUGAUAAAAUGAUCUUUUGAGUUUUGUAAAAUUGUUUCUGAGCAAUUCCAAGUAGGAUUUACUUGGUGACUUUCCUCAGUAGUGAUCAAAGAUCGUGUGCUUUGGACAUAUGACUGCACCGAGAAGGAACAUUUCCUUUGCCUUCCUGGCAGCCGUAAAAACGUGGGGUGGUUUUCUCCUAUUUGUAGACAGCCCUCUUCCAAAUGAUCCUAAAGAAGUUGUCAUUGGAUGCGUUAAAAUUGCCAAGAGGAUUUUAACAUGGACUUACAGCUGUGCAUCGCUCAAUGAUGGGGUGUGUUCUGAGAAAUGCUCUUUUAGAUGAUUCUGCCCUUGUGCAAACGUCAGAGAGUGACAUGCACAAACCUCGAUGGCACAGCCUACUGCACACCUCGGCUAUGUGGUGUAGCCUAUUGCCUAGACUGCAAACCUGUACAGUAAAUGACCGUACUGAAUAACAUCGGCAACUGUAACGCAGUG